rnacentral:rRNA from 1 species
GACGAACGCUGGCGGCGUGCCUAAUACAUGCAAGUUGAGCGCUGAAGGUUGGUACUUGUACCAACUGGAUGAGCAGCGAACGGGUGAGUAACGCGUGGGGAAUCUGCCUUUGAGCGGGGACAACAUUUGGAAACGAAUGCUAAUACCGCAUAAAAACUUUAAACACAAGUUUUAAGUUUGAAAGAUGCAAUUGCAUCACUCAAAGAUGAUCCCGCGUUGUAUUAGCUAGUUGGUGAGGUAAAGGCUCACCAAGGCGAUGAUACAUAGCCGACCUGAGAGGGUGAUCGGCCACAUUGGGACUGAGACACGGCCCAAACUCCUACGGGAGGCAGCAGUAGGGAAUCUUCGGCAAUGGACGAAAGUCUGACCGAGCAACGCCGCGUGAGUGAAGAAGGUUGUCGGAUCGUAAAACUCUGUUGGUAGAGAAGAACGUUGGUGAGAGUGGAAAGCUCAUCAAGUGACGGUAACUACCCAGAAAGGGACGGCUAACUACGUG